rnacentral:rRNA from 1 species
UACGAAGGGGGCUAGCGUUGCUCGGAAUGACUGGGCGUAAAGGGCGCGUAGGCGGAGUGCUUGUCAGGCGUGAAAUUCCAGGGCUUAACCUUGGGGCUGCGUUUGAGACGGGCAUUCUUGAGUAUGGAAGAGGGUCGUGGAAUUCCCAAUGUAGAGGUGAAAUUCGUAGAUAUUGGGAAGAACACCGGUGGCGAAGGCGGCGACCUGGUCCAUGACUGACGCUGAGGCGCGAAAGCGUGGGGAGCAAACAGG